CGCAUCAUCCUUUUUUGUAUGCUACACAAAAUUGGAUACCAUUGCUUAUGCAACAACCCAGUUAGUGAAUGUGCAGGUGCGGUCAACUAAACCUAGCCAUUUGGAUUGACAAGAGCUCAGUUCAGGGGAUGUAUAGAAGAACUAUUACAAUAAGAGGACAAAGCAAUCAAGUUGGGAGAAACCUGCUUUUUGGGUUGAUGACACCUUUCGAGGUAGAUGUGCGUGAGGGAGCGUCCAUUGGUCUGUACGAGAAGAGUGGGAUGUCAGCCGUUGUGCUGAGGAGGGAGUGGUCGACCUGUUUGUGCUGGCACCAGAGACUUAGCCAUCCUGCAUCACGCUCGACCAUGUUGUCCUGGUCGUGUCUGUCGUCCUCUUC